AAGAAGAAACUUGAAAACAA
rnacentral:sRNA from 1 species